rnacentral:rRNA from 1 species
CAGGCCGUUUAAUCGUUAAAACUGGGCAUAGGCUCCGGGGCGGUUUGUUAAGUCAGAUGUGAAAUCCCUGGGAUCAUCCUGGCAGCUGAAUCUGAGACUGGCCUGCUUGUGUCCCGCAUAGGGGGCAUCCCUUCCUCGUGUACUGGUGUAAUGCCUAAAAAUCUGGCGGAAUUCCGCCGUCCCACCGUGCCCUGCUGAUGCUGAAUGUCAAUUGCGAAAUUUGAUUUUGUUAAGGAUUAGUUCCCUUUUGUCCACGCCCUAUUUUUUCCCUUGGACCUGUGCCCUUGAAUCCCUUAUCCUGAACUAAAUCGUCCGAGAACCGCCUGGUGUUGUUCCCGCAAGGAUAAAAAUCCCAUGAUUUGACAACGGCCACUCCAACCGGUGGAGCAUGUGGUUUAAUUAUCUGGGCCACGAACAACCUUACCUGCCCUUGACCUCCACAGAAGUUUUGGGAGAUAAGUGUGUGCCUUCACUAAAUCGUGAAACCUAUGCUGC